rnacentral:rRNA from 1 species
GUUUGAUCAUGGCUCAGAACGAACGCUGGCGGCAUGCUAACACAUGCAAGUCGAACGAUGCUUUCGGGCAUAGUGGCGCACGGGUGCUAACGCGUGGGAAUCUGCCCCUUGGUUCGGAAUAACCGUUGGAAACGACGGCUAAUACCGGAUGACGACGUAAGUCCAAAGAUUUAUCGCCGAGGGAUGAGCCCGCGUAGGAUUAGCUAGUUGGUGUGGUAAAGGCGCACCAAGGCGACGAUCCUUAGCUGGUCUGAGAGGAUGAUCAGCCACACUGGGACUGAGACACGGCCCAGACUUCCUACGGGAGCAGCAGUGGGGAAUAUUGGACAAUUGGCGAAACUGAUCCAGCAAAUGCCGCGUACGAUAAGGCCUUAGGUUGUAAAGCUCUUUACCCGGGAUGAUAAUUACAGUACCGGGAGAAUAAGCUCGGCUAACUCCGUGCCACAGCCGCGGUAAUACCGAGGG